GAUCAUGGCUCAGAUUGAACGCUGGCGGCAGGCCUAACACAUGCAAGUCGAACGGUAACAGGAAUCAGCUUGCUGAUUUGCUGACGAGUGGCGGACGGGUGAGUAAUGUCUGGGAAACUGCCUGAUGGAGGGGGAUAACUACUGGAAACGGUAGCUAAUACCGCAUAACGUCGCAAGACCAAAGAGGGGGGACCUUCGGGCCGUCUUGUCCAUCGGAUGUGCCCACGAUGGGAGUUAG
rnacentral:rRNA from 1 species